rnacentral:rRNA from 1 species
AGUGAACGCUGGCGGUAGGCCUAACACAUGCAAGUCGAACGGCAGCACAGUAAGAGCUUGCUCUUACGGGUGGCGAGUGGCGGACGGGUGAGGAAUACAUCGGAAUCUACUUUUUCGUGGGGGAUAACGUAGGGAAACUUACGCUAAUACCGCAUACGACCUACGGGUGAAAGCAGGGGAUCUUCGGACCUUGCGCGAUUGAAUGAGCCGAUGUCGGAUUAGCUAGUUGGCGGGGUAAAGGCCCACCAAGGCGACGAUCCGUAGCUGGUCUGAGAGGAUGAUCAGCCACACUGGAACUGAGACACGGUACAGACUCCUACGGGAGGCAGAAGUGGGGACUAUUGGACAAUGGGCGCAAGCCUGAUCCAGCCAUACCGGGUGGGUGAAGCAGGCCUUCGGGUUGUAAAGCCCUUUUGUUGGGAAAGAAAAGCAGCAGGAUAAUACCACGCUGUUCUGACGGUACCCAAAGAAUAAGCACCGGCUAACUUCGUG